rnacentral:rRNA from 1 species
AUUCCAGCUCCAAUAGCGUAUAUUAAAGUUGUUGCAGUUAAAAAGCUCGUAGUCGGAUUUUGGCAUCACGCCGAACUGUCUGCCGAUUGGUAAGUACGGUUUGGCGGGUGCUUCCUUCCGGAGGCUCGUUCCCUUCUUCAUUGAAGGGUUCGUUGGUUCCGGGUCUUUUACUUUGAGAAAAUUAGAGUGUUCAAAGCAGGCCUAUGCUCUGAAUAGGUUAGCAUGGAAUAAUAGAAUAGGACUUUGGUCUUAUUUUGUUGGUUUCUAAGGCCGAGGUAAUGAUUAAUAGGGAUAGUUGGGGGCGUUUAUAUUCCGUUGUCAGAGGUAAAAUUCUUGGAUUUACGGAAGAUAAACUACUGCGAAAGCAUUCGCCAAGGAUGUUUUCAUCA